rnacentral:rRNA from 1 species
AAAGAUACGUAGUCUGCGACAUACA